CGUGAUCUUGUAAUCACGCUCUACCACGCUUGUAACGUUCCAGUGAAAGAGACUAAAAGCGUUUUGCAUGAAUUUCUUAUGAAUCCUGGCGAACUCGAGUCAGGGAAUAUAGUUGAUUCGACCGCUAUGAGUACGAAGCAUAACACCAACCGAGGAAAAUUCCUUAUCUGCUUUUUGGGAAUUUUUUUUAUCGUAUUUUUACUACGGCGUAAUUCAAGAGAAAAUCACAAGAACCAAAUAUGGGGAAGAAAAAGAACCAUUUACUUAUGCUUUGUGUCUGGUGCUUGUGCAAUGUAUAAUCAAUGCUUUAUUUGCCAAGCUAGGGAGAAGUGAAACUGAAAAAAAACCCUAGGAUGAAUACUACACAUGGUGGGAGCCAUAACAGAGAGAUAUGGAUAAGGACGUGCAAAGACAAAAAUAAUUCGUGAACAACACACUUUUCUCCUUGUAAUUCUAUUUUAGAUAGAAUGAUAGCAUCAUUAAAUUUUUAAAAUGGAAAUAUUUUUUCCAUCUUAAGUGACAGUGCUUUUUGUGAAAUAAAACACAUAAAGAUU